GAGUUUGAUCCUGGCUCAACAGCUGGCGGUGCCUAAUAAUGCAGUCGAACGCGAAAGUGGAGCACCAUGAGUAGAGUGGAACGGGUGAGUAACGCGUGGGUGACUGCUCAGCGGGGGAUAACGUCCCGAAAGGGACGCUAAUACCGCAUAACAUGCCGCUUUUAACAGGGACAUCAAAGCUGGGGAUCCAGACUACACUUGAAGAGGGGCCCGGUCUGAUUAGCUAGUUGGUGGGGUAAUGGCUCACCAAGGCAACGAUCAGUAUCCGGCUGAGAGGGCGGACGGACACACUGGACUGAACACGGCCAGACUCCUACGAGGCAGCAGUGGGGAAUUGUCGCAAUGGGCGCAAGCCUGACGACGCAACGCCGCGUGGAGGAUGAAGACCUUCGGGUCGUAAACUCCUUUCGAUCGAGACGAAUGGCCUCCGGGUGAACAAUCCGGAGGAGUGACGGUACCGAGAGAAGAAGCCCCGGCUAACUCCGUGCCAGCAGCCGCGGUAAUACGGGGGGGGCAAGCGUUGUUCGGAAUUACUGGGCGUAAAGAGUUGCGUAGGUGGCAGAGUAAGCGGACAGUGAAAGCGUGUGGCUCAACUAUACAUACAUUGUCUGAACUGCUCAGCUAGAGAGUGAGAGAGGUAGUUGGAAUUCCCAGUGUAGGAGUGAAAUCCGUAGAUAUUGGGAGGAACACCGAUGGCGUAGGCAGACUACUGGCUCAUUUCUGACACUAAGGCACGAAAGCGUGGGGAGCGAACGGGAUUAGAUACCCCGGUAGUCCACGCCGUAAACUAUGGAUGCUAGCUGUUAUUCGUAUCGACCCGAGUAGUAGCGAAGCUAACGCGUUAAGCAUCCCGCCUGUGGAGUACGGUCGCAAGACUAAAACAUAAAGGAAUUGACGGGGACCCGCACAAGCGGUGGAGCGUGUUGUUUAAUUCGAUGGUAAGCGAAGAACCUUACCAGGGCUUGACAUCCUGCUAAUUUCUCCGAAAGGAGAGAGUGCCUUCGGGCCGCAGUGACAGGUGUUGCAUGGCCGUCGUCAGCUCGUGUCGUGAGAUGUUUGGUUAAGUCCAUCAACGAGCGCAACCCUUGUGAUUAGUUGAAUUUUUCUAAUCAGACUGCCCCGGCAACGGGGAGGAAGGAGGGGAUGAUGUCAGGUCAGUAUUACCCUUACGCCCUGGGCUACAAACACGCUACAAUGGCCGGUACAAAGGGCAGCCAAGUCGCAAGACGGAGCAAAUCCCAUCAAAGCCGGUCUCAGUUCGGAUUGCAGGCUGAAACCCGCCUGCAUGAAGCUGGAAUCGCUAGUAACGGUAGGUCAGCACACUACCGUGAAUACGUUCCCGGGUCUUGUACACAC
rnacentral:rRNA from 1 species